UACGUAGGGUGCAAGCGUUAAUCGGAAUUACUGGGCGUAAAGCGUGCGCAGGCGGUUCGCUAAGACAGAUGUGAAAUCCCCGGGCUUAACCUGGGAACUGCAUUUGUGACUGGCGGGCUAGAGUAUGGCAGAGGGGGGUGGAAUUCCACGUGUAGCAGUGAAAUGCGUAGAGAUGUGGAGGAACACCGAUGGCGAAGGCAGCCCCCUGGGCCAAUACUGACGCUCAUGCACGAAAGCGUGGGGAGCAAACAGG
rnacentral:rRNA from 1 species